UGGUGGAGCGACUUGUCUGCUUAAUUGCGAUAACGAGCGAGACCUUACUCUGCUAAAUAGCCAGGCUAGCUUUGGCUGGUCGCCGGCUUCUUAGAGAGACUAUCAACUCAAGUUGAUGGAAGUUUGAGGCAAUAACA
rnacentral:rRNA from 1 species